rnacentral:tmRNA from 1 species
GGGGGUGUAACGGGUUCGACGGGGAUACUGAAGCCAAAGCAGCGAGCAGUGGCGGGAACCACUUAAAUAGCCUAAACUUUAAAAUUAAAAGCUAACGAAAAUUUAGUUUGCGCAGCUUAAUUUAAGCUGCCGUUCUCCUGCGGAGGACUGCGGCUGCAGGCAGAGCGUCAUUUUGCAGUGAACGUGAACGGACAAAGCUUUGCAUCCGUCAUGACUUAUGAAGCUACCAAGUUUCACAGCUUGUUUGCGGACUGUGAUAUGAGGGAAUCUUAACCACAAACUGCGCUCGGAGAAGCUUUUGUGAAUGUAUUUUCGGACAGGAGUUCAACUCUCCUCACCUCCACCA